rnacentral:rRNA from 1 species
GCGUGCUUAACACAUGCAAGUCGAACGGAAAGGCCCUGCUUUUGUGGGGUGCUCGAGUGGCGAACGGGUGAGUAACACGUGAGUAACCUGCCCUUGACUUUGGGAUAACUUCAGGAAACUGGGGCUAAUACCGGAUAGGAGCUCCUGCUGCAUGGUGGGGGUUGGAAAGUUUCGGCGGUUGGGGAUGGACUCGCGGCUUAUCAGCUUGUUGGUGGGGUAGUGGCUUACCAAGGCUUUGACGGGUAGCCGGCCUGAGAGGGUGACCGGCCACAUUGGGACUGAGAUACGGCCCAGACUCCUACGGGAGGCAGCAGUGGGGAAUAUUGCACAAUGGGCGGAAGCCUGAUGCAGCAACGCCGCGUGCGGGAUGACGGCCUUCGGGUUGUAAACCGCUUUCGCCUGUGACGAAGCGUGAGUGACGGUAAUGGGUAAAGAAGCACCGGCUAACUACGUGCCAGCAGCCGCGGUGAUACGUAGGGUGCAAGCGUUGUCCGGAUUUAUUGGGCGUAAAGGGCUCGUAGGUGGUUGAUCGCGUCGGAAGUGUAAUCUUGGGGCUUAACCCUGAGCGUGCUUUCGAUACGGGUUGACUUGAGGAAGGUAGGGGAGAAUGGAAUUCCUGGUGGAGCGGUGGAAUGCGCAGAUAUCAGGAGGAACACCAGUGGCGAAGGCGGUUCUCUGGGCCUUUCCUGACGCUGAGGAGCGAAAGCGUGGGGAGCGAACAGGCUUAGAUACCCUGGUAGUCCACGCUGUAAACGGUGGGUACUAGGUGUGGGGUCCAUUCCACGGGUUCCGUACCGUAGCUAACGCUUUAAGUACCCCGCCUGGGGAGUACGGCCGCAAGGCUAAAACUCAAAGGAAUUGACGGGGCCCCGCACAAGCGGCGGAGCAUGCGGAUUAAUUCGAUGCAACGCGUAGAACCUUACCUGGGUUUGACAUGGAUCGGGAGUGCUCAGAGAUGGGUGUGCCUCUUUUGGGGUCGGUUCACAGGUGGUGCAUGGCUGUCGUCAGCUCGUGUCGUGAGAUGUUGGGUUAAGUCCCGCAACGAGCGCAACCCUUGUUCACUGUUGCCAGCACGUUAUGGUGGGGACUCAGUGGAGACCGCCGGGGUCAACUCGGAGGAAGGUGGGGAUGACGUCAAGUCAUCAUGCCCCUUAUGUCCAGGGCUUCACGCAUGCUACAAUGGCUGGUACAGAGAGUGGCGAGCCUGUGAGGGUGAGCGAAUCUCGGAAAGCCGGUCUCAGUUCGGAUUGGGGUCUGCAACUCGACCUCAUGAAGUCGGAGUCGCUAGUAAUCGCAGAUCAGCAACGCUGCGGUGAAUACGUUCCCGGGGCUUGUACACACCGCCCGUCAAGUCAUGAAAGUUGGUAACACCCGAAGCCGGUGGCCUAACCGUUGUGGGGGAGCCGUCGAAGGUGGGACUGGUGAUUAGGACUAAGUCG